GGGGAAUAUUGGGCAAUGGGGGAAACCCUGACCCAGCGACGCCGCGUGAGGGAAGAAGGUUUUCGGAUUGUAAACCUCUGUUCUUGGUGAAGAGGGAAAGACGGUAGCCAAGGAGGAAGCCCCGGCUAACUACGUGCCAGCAGCCGCGGUAAUACGUAGGGGGCGAGCGUUGUCCGGAAUGAUUGGGCGUAAAGGGCGCGUAGGCGGCUGUUUAAGUCUGGAGUGGAAGUCCUAUUUUUAAGGUAGGAAUUGCUUUGGAAACUGAGCAGCUUGAGUGCAGGAGAGGUCAUCGGAAUUCCCGGUGUAGCGGUGAAAUGCGUAGAGAUCGGGAGGAACACCAGUGGCGAAGGCGGGUGACUGGACUGCAACUGACGCUGAGGCGCGAAAGUGUGGGGAGCAAAC
rnacentral:rRNA from 1 species